rnacentral:rRNA from 1 species
UACAGAGGGGGCAAGCGUUGUUCGGAUUUACUGGGCGUAAAGGGCGCGUAGGCGGCCUGCUAAGUCGAACGUGAAAUCCCCGGGCUCAACCCGGGAACUGCGUCCGAUACUGGCAGGCUUGAAUCCGGGAGAGGGAUGUGGAAUUCCAGGUGUAGCGGUGAAAUGCGUAGAUAUCUGGAGGAACACCGGUGGCGAAGGCGGCAUCCUGGACCGGUAUUGACGCUGAUGCGCGAAAGCCAGGGGAGCAAACGGG